ACACCAAAAGUUUAUCCAGUGACAACGAAGUGCCUUUGUUAAUAACCGGAGGCUUCCGGAGGAAGCUAAACCUCUGCCGGUCUGCUAGCUUCUCUUAAAAGUUUUACAUUUUAUAUAUGAAACUUCAAAGUUUACACGCGCCUUCCAAGAAUUCAAAUUUGAAUGAUAUGAAUUUAAUUUAAAAGUACACAUUUAUAUGUUUCUGUUCUGCUCUCUCUCCUUUUCUCUUCUACCUUCUGCCCGUAAUCUCCACUCAUGUUUCUCUCUUUUAUAUUCUUAGUAUUUUUCAGUAUAAUUUUGAUUUCAACUAUUAGUUUUAUAAUAAUUUCUUGAUCUUAUAAUUGCAGGUGAACUUUCGUUGAUAAAGUGUUUGAUGAUUUGCCCCAAAGAACAAAUAUGAUAUGGUUGUCAGUUUUAGGUAUCCUAUAAUAUGUGGUAUGUACACUUAUCGGUGACUAUGAUAUUUGAUUCACUCCAAUAUUGUGGUUUUCAUUUCAUUGAAAGUAUGGAGAACUCAUACACUUGAGAAGCACACAACAGUGAAAUUAGCUAUCACUAGAAGACUGAUAGCUCCUGCAUACGCUCCACAUUUUUUACACACCCAAAAGUGUGAUUUAGAAACUGAAAUCAUAGAUGGCCACCAUUCUUGCCAAAUUUACGAGAGGAUUGUUCCACAUCCAGAAAUAAGGUAUACAAUAUUUAAUUUUAAUAAAUUGAAUACUUUUAACACAUGACAAAUGUAUUAGAUACCAUUUGGUGGUCAUUGCUGGCGAUACUACUGGAUCAAUAGAGGUAAGAAGUGUGAUUGGGAAAAGGGCAAGGCAGAUUGUUCCAAAGUUGCAACUGAAGGAUACUUCCCAGAGUGUUUCAAACAGAUGACAACUAAACCAUACACAAUCAGAAUUGAAAUCAAUGAAUCAAAUGUUUUCAACAAAACUGGAUUCUACUGGGCAACAAACGUAUGCCACGGCUUCAAGUUGGAGGAAUCAGAGACGGAAGAGCAACAAAGCAUUCAAACACAAGGAACUUCUUCAACAACUCAGUUGCCAGGCAUCUCGGUUCUAAACUGACGGAAGAGCAACAAAGCAUUCAAACACAAGGAACUUCUUCAACAACUCAGUUGCCAGGCAUCUCGGUUCUAAACUGCGAUUCAUCUGCCAUAACAACAUAGACAUAAUCACGAUAAGGAGCUUGGUUUGUCUCAGUAAAAGUAGUUAAUUCUCUUUGUUUUAUCUCAUCAGCAUGAAACUUUUGUACUAAUUAACAAUAUCGGAUGUAAUAUUUUUAACUAUGAACCAACGAAUCUAUUAAUUGGCAAUGCUUUAGACAA